UACAUGUGGGGCAAGCGUUGUUCGGAAUUACUGGGCAUAAAGGGUGCGUAGGCGGCUUGUUAAGUCAGGGGUGAAAUCCUUCGGCCCAACCGGAGAAUUGCCUUUGAUACUGGCGAGCUUGAGUGCGUGAGGGGUUACCGGAACGAGAGUGGUAGCGGUGAAAAUGCGUAGAUAUUACUCGGAAGCCAACCGGCGAAGGCAGGUAACUGGUACGCAACUGAC
rnacentral:rRNA from 1 species